CUUGAACCCGGGAGGCGGAGGUUGCAGUGAGCUGAGAUUGCGCCACUGCACUCCAGCCUGGGUAACAGUGAGACUCUGUCUCAAAAAAAUAAAAUGAAUGCUAGACGUCUGUUGUUAUCAGAGGGUGUCAUUUAGAAAUAUUUCAAACUAAUUAUAACUUUUGAGAAGUAUGAAACCCUUUAACUCCUAAAGAUUAGGGAAGGCAGCAUUCUAACUUAACAAGCAGCAGGUGUAUUUCAUCCCUUAAAUACAGCCAUGCCAGGAACACAGAGAAUGAUCAAGUGAUGUGUCCGUAUUUCAAUCCUGUGAUUCAGGAAUCCAAGAAGAAGAAGUGUCACAUAUACUUACUUUGGGCCAUGAAGAGUAGUUUGUUAUCAUUUGAAGAACCAUUAAUUUUAUAAGCAGCUAUGGAUUUUACUAGGGUCACUUUCUUUGUUAGACCUUGACAGAGGGACCCCUGAGAUAAGAAUUGGAUAUUUAUUGACCCCUCCAUUUUAUGUGGUUAAGUUGCUUGAUUUUUUUCCUACUGCCUGUAUAAUUGCAGAAUGCCUGAUUUUAUAUAUAUAUAUGUAUUAUAUAUAUUAUAUAUUAUAUAUAUUUUAUAUAAUAUAUAUAACACAUAUUUUAUAUAAUAU
rnacentral:lncRNA from 1 species